GGUAGUGUGGCUGAGAAGUCUAUGGUGCUGGAUUAAGGCUCCAGUCUUUAGUGUGGCAUGGGAUCAAAUCCCACCACUGCCA
rnacentral:tRNA from 1 species